rnacentral:rRNA from 1 species
UACGUAGGGUGCAAGCGUUAAUCGGAAUUACUGGGCGUAAAGCGUGCGCAGGCGGUUUUGUAAGUCUGUCGUGAAAUCCCCGGGCUCAACCUGGGAAUUGCGAUGGAGACUGCAAGGCUAGAAUCUGGCAGAGGGGGGUAGAAUUCCACGUGUAGCAGUGAAAUGCGUAGAGAUAGUGGAGGAACACCGAUGGCGAAGGCAGCCCCCUGGGUCAAGAUUGACGCUCAUGCACGAAAGCGUGGGGAGCAAACAGG